GACCAGACUCCUACGGGAGGCAGCAGUGGGGAAUAUUGCACAAUGGGGGAAACCCUGAUGCAGAGACGCCGCGUGAGUGAAGAAGUAUUUCGGUAUGUAAAGCUCUAUCAGCAGGGAAGAAGAUGACGGUACCUGACCAAGAAGCCCCGGCUAACUACGUGCCAGCAGCCGCGGUAAUACGUAGGGGGCAAGCGUUAUCCGGAUUUACUGGGUGUAAAGGGUGCGCAGGUGGCAGGGCAAGUCAGAUGUGAAAGCCCGGGGCUCAACCCCGGUAUUGCAUUUGAAACUGUCCGGCUAGAGUGCAGGAGAGGUAAGCGGAAUUCCUAGUGUAGCGGUGAAAUGCGUAGAUAUUAGGAGGAACACCAGUGGCGAAGGCGGCUUACUGGACUGUAACUGACACUGAGGCACGAAAGCGUGGGGAGCAAACAGGAUUAGAUACCCUUGUAU
rnacentral:rRNA from 1 species